GAUGGUGGGAUAAGUGCCACUGUUGGUGGUGUAACCUCUGUGGGUUUCAGAAAUGGCAGCAGUGCUCUGUUCUUAAUGCAACUACAGGGAAGUUAAAAUUAAGCAAGUUCCUAUUAUUAGUUUUUUUAUUGUUAUUAAUAUCUCAAUAUUUUAUUAUUCUUUAUAUGUUUUUUCCUCACCGUGAUUGCAACUCUUCAGCUGGGAUAUUUUGUCUUCUGUUUAUUCCUGGAAUCACUGGCAGCUCAGUUGGAAAAGGAUAUUGCAAUGGCCUGGUACCCUGAGCUGUUUGCACUGAUGUCCCCACAGAGGGGACACAGAGAGCUGGCUGGGAGAAGAAAAUGAACAGUUCUAUUUAUGCAGCACGUAAAUGAUCACGGAGCAAGAACGAUUUCCAUUUGCCUACAUUCUUUCCUGCUCUCAGCUGCCCCAGGUCAGGGUCUCCCUGUGCUGAGCAAGGGCACAGAUCUGGCUCAUGCUAGAGGGGUGAUGCAUUGCUGACAUCCCAUGGCUGACACCCAGGUGGGCUCGCAGCCCUGGCCAUAAGGAGCUCUCCUGGAGCAAAGCCCUGGAGCAUUGCAGCUGGUGCUGCUCUGUGCAGGAGCUCCCAUCUUCCCUCAGCACGUGUCCCUGUGUGAGAUCUGGAGUCUUUCAAGUCUGGAUAUGGGAG